ACUGGGCCAUUAGCAGUCUGGGGGUUGGGGAACUGGCCUGACCCUCUCAACAUUUUAGGUCAUUUUCUUUGUCCUGUAACUUGGGGUUUAUCAGCUCUGGAAUUCCAUUCCGUGCUGUGUGGGGGAGUAUUUCUACUUACCUCUUGCAGAGUGAGUGGGGCCCGGUCACAGGCGUGCGCUGCUGAGGCUAAACCCACGGAGCGUGAAUUCUUAAUUGUGAUAAUAUGAAUGAUAAAAUGUGGACAACAUGCUACAUUAUGUAGGGAUACUGGAAUGAUAGAAAAUACUUUAAGUGGCUUCCUAUCUGCAAAAGCUAAGUCAUGUUUAGAUACAAUGUGCCAUUUUCAAAACCUAUUUUUAGACUGAUCCCGCCCAGAGAAGCGAGGGUAGUAGAGUAAAAGAGUGAGAACACAACUGCCCCACGCUGGCUGGGAAACAGCAAUGGCAAAGGUGUAGAAAAAGCAUGCGGUUAAGAUUUGAAAGUUCAUUUUUAGUUUCUUUUCUUUCCUGUCCUAACUUUUCCUGUAGUUUUAAGCAGAGAGUCAUAGACAGUGAUCUUGUCCAGUCUUCAGAUAAAUCAUCUAUUUUACAUUUUAGGAGUUUAGCCUUGUGUGUCUGCUCCCACACGAAGUCACAGUUCCCGCGACAGUAAAAUUGCCUCCUUAGAAGUCACCAGUGUGGAGAGCAGGCGGCAGCAGCAAGUGGCAAGGGGAUCAGUUCUUAGGAAACAAAGAUCCUGUUUUCAUGCAAAUACCUUUAGUGAUUAAAGAAG